rnacentral:rRNA from 1 species
CAGUAGCCGCGGUAAAACGGAGGGCGCGAGCGUUACCCGGAUUUACUGGGCGUAAAGGGCGUGUAGGCGGCCUGGGGCGUCCCAUGUGAAAGGCCACGGCUCAACCGUGGAGGAGCGUGGGAUACGCUCAGGCUAGAGGGUGGGAGAGGGUGGAAUUCCCGGAGUAGCGGUGAAAUGCGCAGAUACCGGGAGGAACGCCGAUGGCGAAGGCAGCCACCUGGUCCACUUCUGACGCUGAGGCGCGAAAGCGUGGGGAGCAAACCGGAUUAGAUACCCCGGUAGUCCCUGUCUCUUAUACACC